UUUCACAAUCGACAUCUCGCAUUUGCGUCGUCUGCAAAUCAGAUGCUAAAAAUAACCUCUCAAUUUUGUAUGUCUUUUCUUAAAUAACUACUUGUUUCCCGUAAUUUUAAUGGCAGAUAUGCCUUGGAUUACAGCGUUCUUUGCUCCAAAAAUAGUCAUAACUAUAGUUUGGCGUUCAUAAGUCACAUUCAUGUAAAUUGAAUUUUUGCUGGAAUUCGUUGUUCAUACAUAAUACUGCAUUACAGUUUAUUGUGUCAAGAUAAAUGACAUCUUCAACGGUCAACUGCCCGCUAUGCUAUCAGCCGGCCUUCAGCUCUCUAGCCGCCUUAUCUAUGAGCCUCAUCAACGUUACUACUAGACCACUAGACUGCCCACUGUGUCACGAGUCUCUGUCCGGACUAGAUAAGUUCACAAUUCACGUGUUUGGUCACGCGCUCAGUCACAAAUCACCACAACAUGGCGUCUUCAAGGUCAUUGCUGGCACAUUCAGUCAAAAUGCUGCACCGAUCGAUGUAGGUCUGCCUGUGUUGAUUAGGCACAUUGAUGCAAGUCCUACAACUGAUGGAAAUCAUGUUCUGAAUGAAGUUACAUCUAACUUAAAUGAAUCUAGAUUGUACAUUUCAAGUGAUGGUGAUGCAAGUCCUAAAACUGAUGAAAGUCUUGUUUUGAAACAAGGUUCAACUAACUUAGAUGAAUCUAGAUUGUACAUUUCGAGCGAUGAUGAUAAAAAUAAUAACAAUGAGGAAAAAGAAACAAAAACUAUUGACGACAGAAUGUUAAAUAGCUCUCCAAAAUGUGAAAACCACAAUAUGAAAAGUAUUACUUCAAAUCAUGAAGGCCAAACUAGUAUAAAUCGUGACAAUAAUACAUCAAACAGCUGUAAGAAAAGUUUCAGUAUAAAUGAUGCAGGCCUCACUAGUAUAAACCAAGAUAGUAAUCUAUCAAACAAUAUUAUGGAGAAUGUUGUAACUAGAAUUGAUAGUAACAUUGGUACAAAUCAUGUUAGUGAUAUAAAAGGUAUUAUCACAAGAAUGGAUAGUAACAUUGGCACAAAUCAAGUCAGUAAUAUGGAAGGUAUCGUCACAAGAAUAGAUAGUAAUAUUGGUACAAAUCAUGCUAGUAAUAUGGAAGAUAUUGUCACAAGAGUAGAUAGUAACAUUGGUACAAAUAAUUAUAACAAUGCAUCAAACAAGAGUGUGGAAUGUAUUACCACUGAAAUUGAAUCUCAAGGGGGUACAACCCAUGAUUAUAAUAUUAAGAGUAUUGUGACUAAUAUUGAUGGGCACAUAGGUGAAUAUCAUGAUGGUGAUGAAACGAUUAAUGGUUCUGGUCUAAAAUAUUACAGUAAUGUAGAAGAGGGUAGUACUUUUACAACGAAUUAUUAUGAUAACAAUGUUAAAGGUGGCUAUAAGAAUAGUAUUAACAAUAAUGGUACUCCGAAUUAUACAGAUCAAGUUACUCGAGAAGAACAUGUUGAUGUUGAUAAUGACUACAAUUCUAGUUCUAUAAAAGAUACAGAUGUUCCAGCUCCUGUUAGCUAUAGAUUGAACAGUAGUACAAUUUCAAAAUUUUCCGAAGAUAACAGUAAUGAUUUGUUGAAGAAUUUGGAGCCUUUCAUCAAAUAUGGCACUCCAAAAUUUGAUAAAAUUGGAAGGAACCAGAUUUGUGUAAAGGGGGAAUCAGAUGAUAUAUCUAUUGAAAAUAGAAGAGGCAUUGAAGGUGCAAUAUAUAUUGAAGGAAUUGAGGGAAAUAGUUCAAACGUGAAAGGAGAUUUUACUAAUUUAGUGGGACAUAAUACAAAUAGCUUGGAAAUUAACUCUAAAUUCAUAGAGAAUAGGUCAAAUUUUAUGGAUUAUAGUACAAAUAACAUGGAAAAUGAUUCAAAUUUGAUGAAGGAUUUUCCAAAUUUGGUGCAAACUUGUGGAAAUGCUAAAGGUGAUAGCAGCUACGUUACGGAAGUUUUAAAGAUUAAUGAAGUAACUUGUGGACUUGAGGGGUCCAAUACAUCAGUAGAAGCUACCUCAUCGAACUUAACAUCUUCUAUACAUCACAAUAUUCUAGUGGAAGAUAUUGGUAAACCGUUUGAAAUGGUUCCAUCUUCUGAUAGGUCUCCAAUACAUCAUAAUAUUGUAGUGAAUGAUAUUGAAGAUGAACAUUACCAAGUAAUUCCAUUAAUAUUAGAAACCAGCGCGAUUUGUGGUUCGCAAAAUGACACUCCACCUUCCAAAACGAAAACCUCUAAAAAAUUUGCCAAAGGUUUGAAGAGAAAGUUUUCUAAAAAAUCUACGGACAGCUCUAUGACAACUCAAGGCGUUCAGACUAUGGAGGAAUCUUUUACAAAAAAUAACAAUACUUUCGGAAAGUUCUCAAUUAUUGAUAAAAUGAGUGAAGACCCUGUUCAAGAUUUGGACAUGGAGAGAAAUGUUUUGUCUGAUGGAAGGAGUUUUGUUUCUGAUGGAGGAAAUAUUGUUUCCGAGGCAAUAAGUAUUGUAUCUGAUAGCAGAAAUAUAGAUUCUGAUAGAAGAAAUACUGUUUCUAAAGGAGAAAGCUUUGUUUCUGACAGUAACAAAUGUAAUGUCACUUUUGAAAAUUGUACAAAUUUUACGGAGAAUGACGUCACGGCAGUUUGUGACUUGUGUUUAUUCACAUUUCCCGAUGAGAAAAUUCUACAAAUGCAUAAGAAGUUGGUGCAUAAUGACUUUGAUGAGCAGAAGAAGACGUUUUCCUGCCAUCUUUGUUCGAAGUCUUUCAAUAUGCGAGGCAGUCUCAUGGUUCAUAGAAGAGUGGCUCAUCCUGUAAUAUCGGGAGGUCAGGUAUCACUAAAAAAUAUUGAAAGAAUCAAAGAAAUGAAAGCCAGUACUUCUUUAGAUGAAACAACUCCUCAGUUUUGUUGCAAAACAUGUGGAAAAUCGUUUAAAAAGGAGCAACAUUUAACACAACACGAGAGAACACAUGAGCUGAAGCAGUGGGAAUGUGAUAUUUGUUCCAAAGUCUUCAGUACCAAAUAUUUCUUAAAGAAGCAUAAACGUCUCCAUACAGGUGAAAUGCCGUACACAUGCGCGACCUGCGGCAAAAGCUUCACAUUCCAGCAGUCGUACCACAAGCACCUGUUGUAUCACAGUGACGAGAAGCCACAUGUGUGCGCCGAGUGUGGGCGCGCCUUUAAGGAGCUGUCCACUCUGCACAAUCACCAGCGAAUUCACACAGGAGAGAAGCCGUUCGCUUGCGAGACAUGUGAUGAUUUUAAGUGUGGAGUGUUUAUCAUGUCGAUAAUACAAAUCUACUAACAUUAUCUCUAACACGAAUGGUUUUCUUUAAUUUGGAUCAAUAUGAGCUUUUUCACUACCAAGCACUGUGAAGAAACUGAAUUCUUCAAUGCCCAAGGAUUUGUAUGGUAAAUGUUUUCGGCAACGAGUAUCUUACCUUGUACACAGAAGAAUACAUACAGGAGUCAUGCCUUAUAAAUGUACAAUUUGUAACAAAAGUUUCAGAUAUAAGGUGAGUGAACGGACUCAUAAAUGCAAUAAUGCAACUCAAGGCCAAGUAGUUUCCAGAAUAAAUAUGGUGGUUGAGAAACUACAAAAACUGGAAGAAAAAAAUACAAUUUCAAACCAGGAAUCCUUUUCUUCGAUGACUUGUUCCUUAGAGGCCACGCCCACAAACACUGCAACAACCAAUCAAAUUGCAGCAAAGCCUGGUUCACAACAGCACAUGAACCAUUCCGCUCACCUUGAUAAUCCAAACUCUCUGGAAAUCAGUGAUAAUUGUCCAGGGUUUUGGAGCAACUCUUCUCCAUUAUCCACAAAUCAUCAACCUACUAACGAAAGCAAUAUUUUCUCAGCUGAAAACAGCGAUGAUUUUUUAUCGUUUGUUUUGACUCCUACUUUUUCUCCGUCGGAACAGUUCCAAAAUUUGACGUUGUCGCCAAAUUCGGCCCAGAACAGGGAACGGGAAAUGGAUGAAAAAAGGAAUGCAGUAGAGGGAACAAUGAGUAAUUCUGUGGAUGGGUAUCGUAGUAAUAGUUUUGAAACAACUAUCAACGAGGAGUCCCUUAGAGAUUUGCUAGAUCAUGUUGAUGUCUUGUAAUAAAUGUCGACUAUUUUGAUUUUAAAAAUUCACUUGGUUUAUAA
rnacentral:misc_RNA from 1 species